UAUCGGAACGUGCCCAGUCGUGGGGGAUAACUGCUCGAAAGAGCAGCUAAUACCGCAUACGACCUGAGGGUGAAAGCGGGGGAUCGCAAGACCUCGCGCGAUUGGAGCGGCCGAUAUCAGAUUAGGUAGUUGGUGAGGUAAAGGCUCACCAAGCCGACGAUCUGUAGCUGGUCUGAGAGGACGACCAGCCACACUGGGACUGAGACACGGCCCAG
rnacentral:rRNA from 1 species